GCCCGGGUAGCUCAGUCGGUAGAGCAGAGGAUUGAAAAUCCUCGUGUCGGCGGUUCGAUUCCGUCCCCGGGCACCA
rnacentral:tRNA from 1 species